rnacentral:rRNA from 1 species
UACGUAGGGGGCUAGCGUUGUCCGGAAUCAUUGGGCGUAAAGAGCGUGUAGGCGGCCCGGUAAGUCCGCUGUGAAAGUCGGGGGCUCAACCCUCGAAUGCCGGUGGAUACUGUCGGGCUAGAGUGCGGAAGAGGCGAGUGGAAUUCCUGGUGUAGCGGUGAAAUGCGCAGAUAUCAGGAGGAACACCGGUGGCGAAGGUGGCUACCUGGACCGGUUCUGACGCUGAAGCGCGAAAGCGUGGGUAGCAAACAGG